GGUGGCCCGGGACCGCUCCGACAGUCGAUCAUCGCAUGCUGUCGCAGGCGCUUCCCCGCCCC
rfam:Pseudomonas fluorescens Pf-5, complete genome.